UACAGAGGGGGCAAGCGUUGUUCGGAAUUACUGGGCGUAAAGGGCGCGUAGGUGGCCAACUAAGUCGGAUGUGAAAUCCCCAGGCUUAACCUGGGAACUGCAUCCGAUACUGGAUGGCUUGAAUUCGGGAGAGGGAUGCAGAAUUCCAGGUGUAGCGGUGAAAUGCGUAGAUAUCUGGAGGAAUACCGGUGGCGAAGGCGGCAUCCUGGACCGACAUUGACGCUGAGGAGCGAAAGCUAGGGGAGCAAACGGG
rnacentral:rRNA from 1 species